rnacentral:tRNA from 1 species
AUUUAUAUAGUAUACGAGUAUAUUUGACUUCCAAUCAUAAGGUCUACUAAUCUAGUAGUAUAAAUA